AAACUGGGGAUUAGAUACCCCACUAUGCCUGGCCAUAAACUUCGGAUUUUUCCCGCCAGAAUAUUACGAGCCACAGCUUAAAAUUCAAAGGACUUGGCGGUGCCUUACAUCCACCUAGAGGAGCCUGUUCUUUAAUUGAUACCCCCCAAUAAACCUCACCACCUCUUGUAAAUUCAGCCUAUAUACCACCGUCACAAGCCCACCUCACCAGAGAACAAUAGUAGGCUAAAUAAUUUUAAAUUAAAAAGUCAGGUCAAGGUGUAGCAAACGAGUUGGAAAGAAAUUGGCUACAUUUUCUUUUUAAAAAAUACGAAGUGUUUCGUGAAAUAAAACAUGAAGGAGGAUUUAGUAGUAAAAAGAAAAUAGAGUGUUCUUUUUAAAAUUGGCAAUAAGGCGAGCACACACCGCCCGUCACCCUCUUAGUACAAAUAAGCUAAAAUAUAAUAAUUACAUUUAAAAUAGAGGAAAGUCGUAACAUGGUAAGCGCACA
rnacentral:rRNA from 1 species